GACGAACGCUGGCGGCGUGCUUAACACAUGCCAGUCGAACGGUGAAGCGCCUUCCCUUUUGGUGGGUGUGGAUGAGUGGCGAACGGGUGAGUAACACGUGAGUAACCUGCCCCCUUCUUCUGGAUAACCGCAUGAAAGUGUGGCUAAUACGGGAUAUUCUGGGUCUGUCGCAUGAUGGGUCUGGGAAAGAUAUUGUUUCGGUGGGGGAUGGGCUCGCGGCCUAUCAGCUUGUUGGUGGGGUGAUGGCCUACCAAGGCGGUGACGGGUAGCCGGCCUGAGAGGGUGGACGGUCACACUGGGACUGAGACACGGCCCAGACUCCUACGGGAGGCAGCAGUGGGGAAUAUUGCACAAUGGGCGCAAGCCUGAUGCAGCGACGCCGCGUGAGGGAUGGAGGCCUUCGGGUUGUGAACCUCUUUCGCCAGUGAAGCAGGCCUGCCUCGUUUGUGGGUGGGUUGACGGUAGCUGGAUAAGAAGCGCCGGCUAACUACGUG
rnacentral:rRNA from 1 species